CAUAUAAUUUGAAUUUUAUAUAUAAAUUAAUUAAAAUUCUCACUAUUAUAUAUAUAUAUAUAUAUAGACCGGCUGGAAUACUAUCAAUAUCACCAAACAUUUGAUGCUAUCGAGUUUUCCGCUAUCAAAUUUAACCCUUUGAUUAUUUUUAUCAGAUUAUAUUAUUGAAUUAAUAACUCACUUUCUAGUAGGCCCACAUUAUUCUAAGUGUAUAUUUUUUUUAUUCAAUGACUGAAAAUUUAAUAGUAAUAAAAGCUUGAUGUUAUUUAUAGUAUUCCAACCUAGUUAUAUAUAUAUAUAUAUAUAUAAAAGAAGGGUU
rnacentral:lncRNA from 1 species